UUACUAAAUGCUGCCUUUUAGUUCACAUGCAUAUCAUUUUACUUUUAGAUUUUUAUACAUAUAAAUUCAUAUCAUCGAUUUAUUUAUAAAAAUUCUAAGAUCAAAUCUUAUGUAUACAUUUAUAGAUUAAAUAGUUUAAUCUAAUAUCUUUCAUUGAAAAAUUUUUGGAAUGCAUGCAUGAAAUCUCUGCGCAUCCCAACAGUGGUAUCAGUGCC
rnacentral:lncRNA from 1 species